UACAGAGGUCUCAAGCGUUGUUCGGAUUCAUUGGGCGUAAAGCGUACGCAGGCUGUUCGUUAAGUCGGGUGUGAAAGCCCGGGGCUCAACCCCGGAAAUGCGCCCGAAACUGGCGAGCUUGAGUGCGGGAGAGGGAAGCGGAAUUCCUGGUGUAGAGGUGAAAUUCGUAGAUAUCAGGAGGAACACCGGUGGCGAAAGCGGCUCCUGGCCCGACACUGACGCUCAUGUACGAAAGCGUGGGGAGCAAACAGG
rnacentral:rRNA from 1 species